GGAAUAGAAGAUCUAUUUUUUGAAGAAACGCUGCAAUCUUUGACCUUCAAGGACAUGUCAGUAGAUAUGUCUCGGGAGGAAUGGGAAUGCCUGGAACCAGCUCAGCAGAAAUUGUACUCAGAUGUGAUGUUGGAGAACUACAGCAGCCUGGUCUCCUUGGGUCUUGUUUUUUCUAAGCCAGUCCUGGUGGCAUUUUUGGAGGAAAUGAAGGAAGGCUGAGAUGUUUCCAGAAAAAGUCAAUAUCUGC